AACAAACGUUGGCGGCGUGCCUAAUACAUGCAAGUCGAACGAGAAAGUACCUUCGGGUGCGAGUACAGUGGCGCACGGGUGAGUAACACGUGGAUAACGUGCCAUUUGGUGGGGAACAACCUGGGGAAACCCAGGCUAAUACCGCAUAAGACCACAGUCUCUGCGGAGACAGGGGUUAAAGAUUUAUCGCCAAUUGAUCGGUCCGCGUAUGAUUAGCUUGAUGGUGGGGUAAAGGCCUCCAUGGCUACGAUCAUUAGCUGGUCUGAGAAGAUGAUCAGCCACACUGGAACUGAGACACGGUCCAGACUCCUACGGGAGGCAGCAGUAGGGAAUAUUGCGCAAUGGAGGAAACUCUGACGCAGCAACGCCGCGUGUGUGAUGAAGGCUCUAGGGUCGUAAAGCACUGUCGCAGGGGAAGAUAAUGACGGUACCCUGCAAGAAAGGACCGGCUAACUUCG
rnacentral:rRNA from 1 species